CAGGGAGACAACAAAAUGUUUAAUAUUAUUAUUUUGUCACCUUAGGUCGAUCGGUAUCUCACGUUUUUAAUUUAUUAAGAAUUUCAUUUCCUAAGUUUUUCUAGGUCACACCCAUUAUUUUCCUGGGCCAUUAGCUCAGGUGGUUAGAGCGCACCCCUGAUAAGGGUGAGGUCCCUGGUUCAAGUCCAGGAUGGCCCAUAUCUCUAUGUUGGGGGUAUAGCUCAGUUGGUAGAGCGCCUGCUUUGCAAGCAGGAUGUCAGCGGUUCGAGUCCGCUUACCUCCACUGAUUACCACCUCUUCCAUAAACUGUAGAAAGGAAAAUUUUUGAGUUUUGACCACAAUUCUGAACGAAUCUAGCUUCCUAAUGAAACUAUUAAGAUGCUGGACUCAUUGAAUUAAUUUCAUUGUUUUCAGAGAACCUUGACAACUGCAUAGAUUAUUUUUAAAGACAAUAAGCAUCUUUAAUGAUGCAGAUUUAUUAUUUUUGCGAAUGCAUUAAUAACAAUUCUAUUAAGCUGAUGCUUCAAUUUUUGAAGUUAUU
rnacentral:tRNA from 1 species